UACGUAGGGGGCGAGCGUUGUCCGGAGUUACUGGGCGUAAAGGGCAUGCAGGCGGUCAGGCGCGUUUUUGUGUGACAGCGGGUGGCUUAACUACCUGAGUGGUCGAAAGACGGUUUGACUUGAGGACGCGAGAGGGACACGGAAUUCCGGGUGGAGUGGUGAAAUGCGUAGAGAUCCGGAGGAACACCGAAGGCGAAGGCAGUGUCCUGGCGCGUAACUGACGCUGAGGUGCGAAAGCCAGGGGAGCGAACGGG
rnacentral:rRNA from 1 species